rnacentral:rRNA from 1 species
GGAAACAGAUGCUAAUACCGGAUAACAACAGAUGAUGCCUAUCAACUGUUUAAAAGAUGGUUCUGCUAUCACUCUUGGAUGGACCUGCGGUGCAUUAGCUAGUUGGUAGGGUAACGGCCUACCAAGGCGAUGAUGCAUAGCCGAGUUGAGAGACUGAUCGGCCACAUUGGGACUGAGACACGGCCAAACUCCUACGGGAGGCAGCAGCG